GACGAACGCUGGCGGCGUGCUUAACACAUGCAAGUCGAACGGAAAGGCCUCUUUCGGGGGGUACUCGAGUGGCGAACGGGUGAGUAACACGUGAGUAACCUGCCCUUGACUUUGGGAUAACUUCAGGAAACUGGGGCUAAUACCGGAUAGGAGCUCCUGCUGCAUGGUGGGGGUUGGAAAGUUUCGGCGGUUGGGGAUGGACUCGCGGCUUAUCAGCUUGUUGGUGGGGUAGUGGCUUACCAAGGCUUUGACGGGUAGCCGGCCUGAGAGGGUGACCGGCCACAUUGGGACUGAGAUACGGCCCAGACUCCUACGGGAGGCAGCAGUGGGGAAUAUUGCACAAUGGGUGGAAGCCUGAUGCAGCAACGCCGUGUGCGGGAUGACGGCCUUCGGGUUGUAAACCGCUUUCGCUCAUGACGAAGCUUUGUGUGACGGUAGUGGGUAAAGAAGCACCGGCCAACUACGUG
rnacentral:rRNA from 1 species